GGAAGUUCUCGGAGCAUUUGA
rnacentral:piRNA from 1 species